UACGUAGGGGCCUAGCGUUGUCCGGAAUUAUUGGGCGUAAAGAGCUCGUAGGCGGUUCGGCAAGUCGGAUGUGAAAUCUCCACGCUUAACGUGGAGGGGCCAUUCGAAACUGCUGUGACUCGAGUCCGGUAGGGGAGUGUGGAAUUCCCGGUGUAGCGGUGAAAUGCGCAGAUAUCGGGAGGAACACCAGUAGCGAAGGCGGCUCUCUGGGACGGUACUGACGCUGAGACGCGAAAGCGUGGGGAGCGAACAGG
rnacentral:rRNA from 1 species